AUGAUUUUUGAAAUUUCAAAACGAAGGGGCUGCUCGGUGAACAAGGCUUUGCAAAACAACUUCUGGGUCUCCCAAAUCAACACUCGUGGCAUCUUCUCCGCUAACCAGCUCACUCAGUUCGUCAACCUUUGGGAAAAAAUUUCGGUUGUUCAACUCAACCCAGAUGGGGUCGACACUAUCUCAUGGAAGUUCACUAAUGAUGGUCUGUACACUGCGGCGUCGGCCUACAAAGCUCAGUUCUCUGGUCUGGUUGACACUAACAUGUUACAGUGGGUUUGGAAGAAUUGGGCUCCCCCCAAAUGCAAAUUUUUUGCCUGGUUGGUUAUCAACAAUAGGAUUUGGACGGCCGAUAGGCUCCAACGACGUGGAUGGCCUAAUUGUGAUCGUUGUCCUCUUUGUAAGCAGGUGCAAGUAUCCGCGGCGCACAUCCUCUUCCGGUGCCGCUACACUGUUCGAGUUUGGGGUAUAGUCAAAUCUUGGCUUGGCCUGGGGGAUGUGCAUCCUUCGGCUUGGGUGGUGAUGGAUUCGGUGAAGUCUUGGUGGAACCUGAUUGCAUCCAACACAUCGCAGUCGCGCCGGCCGAUGCUCUCUCUUAUGAUGCUAGUCUCAUGGGAAAUCUGGAAAGAAAGGAAUGCUCGUGUCUUUAGGGGCACCGCGGUGCCGGUGGGGGUUAUUGUUGCUAAAAUUAAAGAUGAGUACAAGUUGUGGUGUUUCGCGGGGGCUAAGUGCUUGAGUAAUGUAAUACCGCGAGAGUAA
rnacentral:rRNA from 1 species